UACGUAGGUGACAAGCGUUGUCCGGAUUUACUGGGCGUAAAGAGCGCGCAGGCGGUCGAUCAAGUCGAGUGUGAAAGCCCCCGGCUCAACUGGGGAGGGUCAUUCGAUACUGAUCGACUCGAAGGCAGGAGAGGGUAGUGGAAUUCCCGGUGUAGUGGUGAAAUGCGCAGAUAUCAGGAGGAACACCGGUGGCGAAGGCGGGUCUCUGGGCAACAACUGACGCUGAGGAGCGAAAGCGUGGGGAGCGAACAGG
rnacentral:rRNA from 1 species